ACCGGAUGACACGAAACAGCUGAUAUUAGUACUUUCAAACGGGGUGUUUCUAAUCGCAGGCUGCCUUUCAUGUUUGCCGCAACACAAAGAAAGAAGGAAAGGGGUGCUUUGAGGACAGAAGGCAUGCUUCGAACAUGGAUCCAUAUGUUGUGACUUCCAUGAUUGCACAAAACCACCAUCCUUCGGAAGCCAAGAGACCAUCAACCAGCCCCUCAUGAAAUAUUGUUUUUAGUAGUCUGUCCAAGGAACCGUAGAAAGAUCUCUGUCAUCAGGAUGGAUAUCCUUCAGUUUGUUUCCCUUUGUGUUUGAAGCAGCAACCGAUGUUAUUGCUUUGCUUGCUUACCUUAUGAUUCUGCAUUUUGUGUCGAAUAAUGUAAGGCUUACUUCCCGGCUAUGGGUUUAGAAGAUUUUACUUUGAUGAAAUGCAGAUCACAUCUAAAGUUGUGACAGGGCUUUAUCUUCGUCUAAAGUAAACUACAUGUUGGUUUGUAAA